GUCAUAGACCCCAUGGCUGAAGCCAGGGGCUUGGGGACAAGCCCUGCAGCUAAGCCAGACCUAUGACCAGCCUGAGUGCCGGAGUUCAGCCGGAACGAUGAAGGCACUACGUUGGGAGGGUGCACACCUUAAGAUGCAUUCCCAGUCUUCUGCCCUGUG
rnacentral:sRNA from 22 species